UACGUAGGGGGCAAGCGUUAUCCGGAAUUACUGGGCGUAAAGCGCACGCAGGCGGUUCGCCAAGUUUGGAGUGACAGUUGUCGGCUCAACCGACAAAGGACUUCAAAAACUGGUGAACUUGAGGACGAGAGAGGAACAUGGAACUCCAGGUGUAGUAGUGAAAUGCGUAGAUAUCUGGAAGAACACCAAUGGCGAAGGCAAUGUUCUGGCUCGUUUCUGACGCUCAGGUGCGAAAGCCAGGGGAGCGAACGGAGUAGAAUCCGAGUACCU
rnacentral:rRNA from 1 species